GAUGGACGCUAGCGGCAGGCCUAAUACAUGCAAGUCGGACGGGAUUUGGGAGCUUGCUCCUAAUGAGAGUGGCGCACGGGUGCGUAACGCGUAUGUAACCUACCUUAAUCAGGGCGAUAGCCUCUCGAAAGAGAGAUUAACACCGCUUAAUAUAUUUUUAUGGCAUCGUAGAAAUAUCAAAUAUUUAUAGGAUUGAGAUGGGCAUGCGGAACAUUAGCUAGUUGGUAAGGUAACGGCUUACCAAGGCUACGAUGUUUAGGGGAUCUGAGAGGGUGACCCCCCACACUGGUACUGAGACACGGACCAGACUCCUACGGGGGGCAGCAGUAAGGAAUAUUGGUCAAUGGGCGCAAGCCUGAACCAGCCAUGCCGCGUGCAGGAAGACGGCCCUAUGGGUUGUAAACUGCUUUUGUACCGGAAUAAACCCUUUUACGUGUAAGAGGCUGAAUGUACGGUAAGAAUAAGGAUCGGCUAACUCCGUGCCAGCCGCCGCAGUAA
rnacentral:rRNA from 1 species